GUGCCAGACUCCUACGGGAGGCAGCAGUGGGGAAUAUUGCACAAUGGGGGAAACCCUGAUGCAGCGACGCCGCGUGAGUGAAGAAGUAUUUCGGUAUGUAAAGCUCUAUCAGCAGGGAAGAAAUAGCGACCUUUGGGUCGCCAGACGGUACCUGAUUAAGAAGCCCCGGCUAACUACGUGCCAGCAGCCGCGGUAAUACGUAGGGGGCAAGCGUUAUCCGGAUUUACUGGGUGUAAAGGGAGCGUAGACGGCAGAGCAAGUCUGAAGUGAAAGCCCGCGGCCCAACUGCGGGACUGCUUUGGAAACUGCCCGGCUAGAGUGCUGGAGAGGUAAGUGGAAUUCCUAGUGUAGCGGUGAAAUGCGUAGAUAUUAGGAGGAACACCAGUGGCGAAGGCGGCUUACUGGACAGUAACUGACGUUGAGGCUCGAAAGCGUGGGGAGCAAACAGGAUUAGAUACCCUGGUAA
rnacentral:rRNA from 1 species